CCUGGAGGUUAGAAAACCUCGUCAGCUGAGGAGUGAGGGCUCUGCCAGUGGCAGAGCCUGUGAGCUCCACUCAACGGACAAGAGCCUCUGGGCUGCCAGGGUGAUCCGAACGGGGGAGAGAUGUUUUAUGUUUGGGAAUGUCCUCGAGAUGUACAAGGCCCCAUCUGACUGCGGGCAAGCAGACCAAGCCACAGACCAAAACCACUGCUUUGCUUUCACUGCUUAAAGGUGCCUUGGAAAGAGGGUUGCUGACCUUUUUUAGCUUUUUCGUUUUAGAUCAGGGCUGUCUGGUAAGUACUUUGCCCUACUUUUUUGAUUAAAAAUAAUCUGCUUGGGGUUUUUUUUCAUUAGUUAUUUGGGUCUUGUCUUGCCAGAAGACUAUGAGUUGAAAAGUGUUGUUAGUGUGACCUCCCACUCGGGCAUCAAUUUCCUGGAGGGAUUCUCCCAUUUAACAUGACCACAAACAGCUUUUUAGAUGGUUUCAAACUCUUAGGCCUCGGCUUGCUCUUGGGAAAAGUAUUUCACAGCAAUAAGUAGGUAACAUUUUGAACACCCUAAGUUUUUGUUAGAGAUGUAAAAGAUGGCUGGUUCACGAUGAACAAUUCAGUGGUCUUCCCCAAAAAUGAAACUUAAGACUUUUUUUUUUCUAAUUAUUCCUAAGGUAUAAGAUAGAAGGGGCAAGUCCAUUUACUUCCUCAACUGAAAGCCCUGAAAUAAACCCUUAGUGAUGAAACAGGAGGAAGAUGAGUGCCUGACAGGGCAGGGAUGGAGGGGCUGUGCCUGUACCUCUCCAGGGCAGACAGCCUGGGUGUCUCCACCAGGAUCUCUUUGCUGCUCCGCACCCCAUCAGAGCCCUGAAACCAAACCAGGAGGAUUUAAUGAUGGGAGGACACCAUGCGUGCUGCCUGGCUCCCAGCUACUGAAGCAACACUGGGGCUACAAGCGCAGGGCUCUGACCCAGAGGCGUUGCCUUCCUCACUGGGACCCUACACGUUCCCCUCCUACCAGCUGGACUGCCCUGCUCUUCAGAUGCUGCACAUACCUCUCUUCUACAAAGCCUGCUAUGCUCUUAGAAGUCUCUUGUUCCAAGACAAGAUCCGCUGAGGCAGAGAAACCAUUCAGUCCUAAUGCUGAAUCACUCAUUUCCUGUAACGGCUCUAGCAGAGGGGUGAGGUGAAGAAUUGUGAUGAUCAAAGCGGCAGCUUGAAAAAGACUAAGCAGCCUGGGACUGCAAUGAUCUCAAACCAAAGGUGCAGAUGGCUUUGGGCAAGUGAAGCAGGAGGUGUCUCACCUCCAUCUCCCAGACCUGGGUCUGCAGCUGAAGGCACCUAAUUUCCAGUUCCUCUGCUGUGGAUGAGUCAGGAGCAUCUGAAAGGGAAGACUUUGGUUUUGUACGUACAGCCUUAAAGAAGAGCUAUAGAUAACCCGUGUCACACAUCGCAAAUGCCCCAGCAGUACCUGCCUGUACCGUAAGUGAACUCAAGCCCAUAUGACACAGGAGCUGAACAUGAGCUCUGCAUGCUGGUCCCUGACAAUUCAACCUGCAGCAGUUCGAUAAAGAUACUGACAGACUAAAGAUAGUUGUGAAUGAUACUGGUGAAGUUUUAUGCUGCAGAAAGCUGAUGUGAGUGGUGCUGUUUGCAAUUAUACAAUGAGAAUUGCUUGACUUACUCAGUCUUAAGGGACCUAUUAAAAAAAUGAGCAAGUGUCCGCUAAAGCUGUUCUAGACUAAAUGGCUAGAACAAUGCACCAUGAGGUACAAAACAUAUGUUUGUGGUUUGACAGGCAUAUUCUUGUUCUCUGCUCAGGAAAUGGAGAAUUUACCACAGCUUUAUACUAACAAGGUAGUUCAGCCGAUGUAGGAAAUGUGUCUGUGCUCAGAUGGAGAGCUGCUGGAUUCCAAGUAACUGAAUGGGGGGAAAGAUCUUCUGUGACUCACUCAAAGCUGGGUUCAAUUUAGAGUUAGGCUGCCUUACAGGACAAGUGAGCCUGGACCUGUAAUACUGUUUGAGACUGCAGGUAGAUUUUUGGUUUCACUUAGUAGCUCUGUUUUUCCAGCCUGUUUGAACUCUGCGGUAUUUACUGUUCUUUUUUUCUAACCAUCUAACCAUCCUCGUGUAUCUGUGUGGUUGGUCUAUACUCGUGGAAACGUAGUAACCCGUAGAAAAUAGGUCAGGAAAUAAUGUUUUCUACAACACCAGAAAAGCCGAGUAACAGAUGCACGUACAAAGCGUGGAUCUGCUUUGACAAACGGUACCACGUGUGUCUAACUGAUACCACUCACCAAAGAGGCUCUUGGGCUUUUAAGGCAAGGAUGGCUCAGAGAGGAGGUCUCCAAGCCUGCUCUGUUGCCAUAGCAGGAGCUCUGUAGCUCUCCCACAGGUAGGAGCAUGGUGUCAAGGGUAGAAUAAUUUUUACCUUCUCCUUUCUGAAUAGCCUUCAUCUUCUCUUCAAGUUCAGCAAUCCUCCUGUCCUUCAGGACCAGAACAAAUAAUGACCUCAUUUAGUUCCUUGGCCUUCAGGACCUUGAGGCACAGUUUGCACAAUUAGUCCUGGCUAGGUGAGUCAGUGGUGCACAUACUCUCACCCCACUUAGAGACAGGCAAAAUAAGGGUCAGAAAGGCUGUAUCACCUCACAGAUAUCUUAGACUCAAAUGAGGGCUGGGAUAUAAAUACACUGCUCCAAGAAUAGGUGAGGGACACACUGACCUAUCUCCCCCUCCUCUAUCUGCCCAAGAGCUGUAGGCAAAUGCACAGACUCCUGCCCCUGUGCUUCCUGCUCAGGCACAGCUCAUGCUCUGACCUGCAUGCACUAAGUGGCUGAUCUAGAAAUGCAACCAGCAUUUCUGCAGGCACCUCUUUAAAAAAAAAAAAGGGGGGGGGGGUGUAGUAGUUAUUCUAAGCUGCAGUCAUGCAAAGAGGUCUGCUCCAGGAUGACUCUGCUGUAUGAGCAGCUGUUGUUUCAGAAAGCAAAAGGAAGAAAAGAAAUGUUUGAAGCCAAACAGCUAAUGAUAUCAGUGAAAGGGUGCUGAGAGUCUUUACUUUAAGAAGUCACAGUAGGGGCUGUCCACUCUCCCACCCCAAGGACUGAUAAAAUUGCUCUGUUGCUUUGCGAAGGCUUGUUUGUGUAAUUAACAAAGCAGGCUAUAGAUUAACUUGUUUUAGCCCAAACUAGGUCUAAGCAGGUGUAACACUACUGUGGCUUCAACUGUCAAAGCAGAGCACAGAACAGGUUCAGUAAGGGGCAGGAUUUUUACCUUCAGUCGGAUUUCUUGUGCUUGUUCCUCUAUUUUUUGUUCCAACAGAGUGACUUUUUGCAUCAUGGAGGACAUGAGCUCCAUGUCAGUGUGAGCUGCGCCUGAAAGCACAAAUACGUAUUACCUCUCUAAAAUGGCAAUUGGUAUUGGAGGCUCGUCUGCGCCAUAGUGGACCCCGCACAAGAAUUCCUGUUCUGCCACAGCAGUGUUGUCCCCCUUGAGCAGGAGGGGAGACUGCCUUGCACUGGAUUCUUUGUCCUAGGAGACAGGCUGUCAUCUUCUGAGAAGAGGCACGAAGAGCAUGAAAGAAAGAAAACAGGUCAGCAUUUUGGAUAAGGCUUCUCCAAAAGCAGCUGCAGAAAGCAACUCUCCUCCGCUUGAAACUGAGGAAACGCAAACGUGAUACGAACCUGUGCGAGACGUGACUGACCAAUAGCCCUGGUACCUGCUGGGGACCGAUGUCGGCCAGGAGACAGCAGCAUUGGCAGUGAACGCAGCUUCCCCAAAUCGCUCUUUCAGCGGUGGGGCUGGUGCAGGGAAGGAAAGUGUGAUUGGUGAGACAGGGUCGUUGCUGCACUUAAAGCCUCCAACUGCAAUCACUGCGAGCAGAUGAGGAAGUGUCACAGCACACCGUGAGUCGAGCCCUGACCAUGCAGCGCACCUGUGGGCUCCUACUGCUCGCCCUGCUUGUCCUCUGCAUGCCCCUUGGCCAGGCGGACAAGGUGGAUGCGGUCACGGCUAUCACCUCCACCGCUCCACGCCCCGCCGCAAGCAACGUGAGCCCCCUCCGCAGCAGCCCACCCCUCCUCUCCCUCACCCUGGCGCUGCUGGCUGUGGCUUUCUUCUUGCGGCUGCGCUGACCCAGAGGGGGGCUACCGUGCACCCCCACCCCAAAGAUGACACCCCCAGGAUGGCAUCCCCUGCACCGGCACCUCCUCGGACCCUCGCAGGACGGAGGAGCGGCCAGCGUGCCGCCAUCGCUUCCUUCCCUGCCUCCCUCUGCUCCGUUCUCCCGUUCCCCUCCGGCCUCUAAAUGAAACCCCAAAGCUUUCCCAGCUCGGAAGCCGGCCUGCUGCGAGGUUCUGAGAAAUAAAAGCGACUGGCGUAGA